CACAUGAGGGUGUGAGCAUCAGCAGCCGGGGGCCAUCUCAGUGGUUGGCUGCCACACCACCUCCCGGGGCAGCCCUGGUCAGGACAAGCCUGGUGUACAGUUUGAAGGAAGCAAGCCCGCAGCCCAAGGCAGGCUCUUCCAGCAGUUUCUAGGAUGCUUUUCAAGGCAGCCUCCCCACAGCGCCUGGUACAGAAGACCGUGGGGCCAAGUUGGUGCUGAUCUUCUCUGGGCAACGGCAUCCAACACUGGACUAAGGGACAGGAGGGAAGAGGUGAUCUUCAUCCAAGUCUCAGUCCUGCCUCAGUCUCACUUCCUUGCCACCCAGAAUACUUCAGGACCAUCUCACCCCCAAAGGCUGACGAAUGGCGGAAUCCUCGGGACUGAGGCGGGUUGAUGCAAGCUAUUUAGGGGCAGGCCGGCCUCUGAGCUCCCAUUAAAUCAUAGCCACGCUGACCUGCUGCAAGAGGAUGGACUGUCCUUUCCAGGAAAAGUUUCUACCUGCAAACCACCGUGCUGUCAGACUCUGGGAGUCCUGGCAGAAGGCCAGAGGUCCUCAGCAUCCCGUCUUCUGAACUGCCUAUUAGGGACAGAGGGACAGGAACAGAGGACAAUAACAUCUGUUUUUCCAACAAGCAAGUGACAGUGCUGAUCUAGGGGUGGAGCGCGCGUCAGCACUGGGGCCCAGACGCAGCCCGGCAGCCGCGGCAGCAACUGGCACUCGUCAUUUCUCAGGGAGAUUAUCUCCCAAUCAGCGGCAGCACCCCGCUUGUUGGCAUUUAUCCUCACCGGGGGAGCCAUCGUGAGCACGCUUGCCGCCCCAGGCAGAUCAGGCGGGCUCUGGUUUGUAUUUUUAUCUCUGGUGGGCCAGACCCUGGUUUCAGAAGGAAUCUGGGAGCCACGGGUCCUCCAGCCUCAGUCCUGCCUUCCCGAGGCUCCAGCCUGCUGUUGGACCCUGGCCCACACCACAGAACGCUGGAGUAGGAGGAACAGUGGGUCAGCAGUCAGAAGAGCCAGUUCCUGCACCGCCAGCCCUGUGACCUUGGGUCGCUGUGUCUAUCUGGGGACACUAACAACAAGGCACUGCAUCUGGAAGGAGCAGCGAGCAGGUCCUGGUGGUGCUGCCCGUGUCUGUGUGACCUUCAGCGAGCCACCUAGCCCCUCAGUCACGGAUGCGAGCCACACACAGAUGUCUCAGGACACGGGGAGGCCUCGUGAGAGACCCACAGGGAAGGGAUGGGGAACCCCAAGUGUCCACCAGAUCUCGGCACAGUGGCCGUCACCGUGACUGGUCAGCAGCCUUGGAAAGCUGCUGUCACCCCCAGCCAGGCAGGCUGUAGCGACCCAGGGCAGGGCCUCCUGGGGACACGGGUCUUCUGCUGCACAGAGCCUGCUCAGCGGCAGCCACACACCAGGCGGCAGAUUACACAGAGCUCUGCCUCGCUUGAGGGAUCCGCUUAUCUCCACCCCAUCCCCACCCAGGAAAGGACGGCCCUCGUCGGCAGAGGAGCCAGGCCCAGCCUCGCCGCUGAGCUGCCAGGAUAAAGAACGGCACUGGCUCUCCCCGCCACUGCCAGGAGCCCCCCUGAGCUAUCAUUUCCUCACAGCCCCUGCGGUUUCCUUUCAUCCUCCCCAGAACUGCAUGGAGAUUGGUUAUCUGGUAAUUGAGAUUGUUUUACAAGGUA